CCUACGGGGGGCAGCAGUGGGGAAUAUUGCGCAAUGGGCGAAAGCCUGACGCAGCGACGCCGCGUGAGGGAUGAAGGUCUUCGGAUCGUAAACCUCUGUCAGCAGGGAAGAACGGUCACUGUGCUAAUCAGCAGUGAAUUGACGGUACCUGAAGAAGAAGCCCCGGCUAACUACGUGCCAGCAGCCGCGGUAAUACGUAGGGGGCAAGCGUUAUCCGGAUUUACUGGGUGUAAAGGGGGCGCAGACGGCGAUGCAAGCCAGGAGUGAAGGCCCGGGGCCCAACCCCGGGACUGCUCUUGGAACUGCGUGGCUGGAGUGCAGGAGGGGCAGGCGGAAUUCCUGGUGUAGCGGUGAAAUGCGUAGAUAUCAGGAGGAACACCGGUGGCGAAGGCGGCCUGCUGGACUGCAACUGACGUUGAGGCCCGAAAGCGUGGGGAGCAAACAGGAUUAGAUACCCUAGUAGUC
rnacentral:rRNA from 1 species